AUUGAACGCUGGUGGCAGGCCUAACACAUGCAAGUCGAACGAGUGGCGGACGGGUGAGUAAUGUCUGGGAAACUGCCCGAUGUAGGGGGAUAACUACUGGACACGGUAGAUAAUACCGCAUACCAUCGGAUGUGCCCAGAGGGGAUUAGCUAGUAGGUGGGGUAACGGCACACCUAGGCGACGAUCCCUAGCUGGUCUGAGAGGGUGACCAGCCACACUGGAACUGAGACACGGUCCAGACUCCUACGGGAGGCAGCAGUGGGGAAUAUUGCACAAUGGGCGCAAGCCUGAUGCAGCCAUGCCGCGUGUAUGAAGAAGGCCUUCGGGUUGUAAAGUACUUUCAGCGAGGAGGCGGUACUCGCAGAAGAAGCACCGGCUAACUCCGUGCCAGCAGCCGCGGUAAUAC
rnacentral:rRNA from 1 species